rnacentral:lncRNA from 1 species
CACAAACCCUCACAGCCAAGGCGAGGAGGAAACCCCUGAGAUUAAGCCAGGUCAACACACGCAGUGCUGGGCUGAGCUUUAGUUACAUGUAGAACACUGAUCUUUAAGGUACCUGAAGCUAAGCACUCUCAGAAUGUCAGACCAUGUGGAGGGGCAAGGCAACAGAAAACAGACCACAGAAAGCCUGGUCCACAGGCCUGCAGUCAGUGGGUCCCACAGCUCCACCUGAAGCUAAUGGGCCUUCUCCCCCUCAGGUGUUAGGAAGGAAGUACAUCCGGCUGUAUUCUCCGCAAGAGUCUGAGGCAGUGUACCCUCAUGAGACACACAUUCUUCAUAACACCAGCCAGGUGGGCAUACGGGAAAUCAGGGUGUCAUGGUGCCUUCUGUCUCUACAGACCAGCAGAUGACUUCUGUUGCUUUCUGCAGGUUGAUGUGGAAAACCCCGACCUAGAGAAGUUCCCCAAGUUCACCGAGGCCCCGUUUCUGUCCUGCAUUCUGUCCCCAGGAGACACCCUCUUUAUACCUGCUAAGUACUGGCAUUACGUGCGCUCCCUGGACCUGAGCUUCUCUGUCAGCUUCUGGUGGUCAUAGCAAAGGCGGAGUGGAAAGGACCCUCCAGGAAGACACCUUAUCCAAAAGCAGUGAACCCAGUGACAGUGUUAGACUCCAGCAGUCCUGCUCCACAAUCAGUAUCUGUUAGGAUGUCACAGAGCUGCUG